rnacentral:rRNA from 1 species
GAUUAUGGCUCAGGAUGAACGCUAGCUACAGGCCUAACACAUGCAAGUCGAGGGGCAGCAGAUCGAAAGCUUGCUUUGAUGCUGGCGACCGGCGAAUGGGUGAGUCACGCGUGUCCAACCUGCCCCCCGCCCGGGGAUAGCCCUUGGAAAUGAGGAUUAAGACCCGAUACGUGCGCCCUCCGCAUGGCGAGCGCAUGAAACUGGCGAGGGAUGGGGACGCGUCGGAUUAGCUUGACGGCGGGGCAACGGCCCACCGUGGCGACGAUCCGCAGGGGUUCUGAGAGGAAGGUCCCCCACACUGGCACUGAGACACGGGCCAGACUCCUACGGGAGGCAGCAGUGAGGAAUAUUGGUCAAUGGCCGAGAGGCUGAACCAGCCAAGUAGCGUGCAGGAUGACGGCCCUACGGGUUGUAAACUGCUUUUGCGGGAGGAUAAAGUGCGCCACGCGUGGCGCUUUGCAGGUAUCCCGUGAAUAAGGACCGGCUAAUUCCGUGCCAGCAGCCGC